UCUUCUGGAGCAACUUCCAUCUGCAGGUAUGCCUGCACCAGGUCGAUUUUGCUGAAUCUCUUCCCACCAGCGAGCGACGCGAAAAGCUCGUCCACCGUAGGAAGUGGGUGCUUGUCCACCACAAGUUUGGGGUUGACGGUUUGUUUGUAAUCGCCGCAGAUGCGCACCCGGUUGUUGGAUUUCUUCACCGGCACAAUCGGUGUCGCCCAAUUACUCUGGUUGACCUUGGUGAGAACUCCCUCCGCAACUAGCUUGUCUAGCUCAGCAUCGACCACACUCUGCAGGUUGAACGGGAUUUUACGCGCCUUCAGGAAGACAGGGCGGGCAUCACUCUUCAGCGGCAAGUUGGCUUGGACACGGGAGAUCUUUCCGAUGGAGUCCUCGAAUACUCUCGGAAACUUUUGCAGAACCUUCUUCACGGCGGCAGCAGUAUCAGCAACACUAUUCAAGCACUACAGUUGCUUCUCGAAGCACCUCCGCGUAUCUCAUUCACCGCAUACUCCUUCCGCAGCAGCACAUUCCAAUCGACCGACAGACGACUAAACCAUUCGCGCCCGAUCAACGGAUGUUUUUUCCGAAUUCACGACGUACAACGGUAACUGCGAAUUCUGUCCAUCGUAUUCGACACGAGCGUCCAUUAUCCCGAGCACGUCAAUGUUAGUAUUGCAAUAGCUCACGAGAUUCGUAUCUCAUUGCCGCAGUUUUGCCAACUUAACUUAAGUCUAUGGUUUUGCUGCCUGGAACAUUUGCUUCCAGCAGUUCGCACUCACGAUGGUGACGGGCGAUCACGUGUCCACCUCGAAACGCAUCGGUACUCCAUUCACGCGCACUUUUAUUCAAAUUUUCGCAUUGUCCGAAAUGGUGUUUACCGAACACACCUCGCGCACAUCGGGUUUCGCAUCACUAUAGUCAUUUGCGGAAUUGUCCACGAAAUUCGUUUGCACGGCACUUUGUUUACCCGACGAUCGCGCACCACUGGCCUUCGAGCCGGAUUUUCUCAUGCACACUAGUAUGGGACACACUUGUAUGGAAAAAUUAAAUCCUCGCUCCAGUCGACUUUUUAGAUGCCAUUUAGGUCCCAUAUGAACUGUACAAAAUUUCAGUGCAAUCGGUGAAACUAUAAUUUAGCGCAAGCGGUUCAAAGUUUUCAUAGGAUUUACUAUGGAGAAAGUUACACUUUCAAACAAAAAAUCCCAGAGGUCACCCCUUCUCUCCUUAAUUCAAAUCGAUCAACAUUUCUUGCAGAAAAAUCUUUUAUGAAACUUUCCUUCGAAGACCGCAAAACGAAUGAUUGCUUGUGGAAAAAGUUAUUGAUUUUUUACCGAUUAGUGAUCCAACGAACGGCUUUUCGUUUCGUUUUAUCAGCAGCACUGCUGCUGCCGUUGUUGCAUGUGGUGGCGGGAGGUAUCACCACCCCCAGAAACAGCAGCAGCCAAGGCAGUAGGUAUAGUGCUGCUAAUAAAACAAAACAAAAAGCCGUUCGUUGAAUUACUAAUCGGUAAUAAAUCAAUAACUUUUUCCACAAACUUCCAAUCGUAUUGCGGUCUUCGAAGGAAAGUUUCAUAAAUGAUUUUUCUACAAGAAGCGUUGAUCGAUUUGAAUUAAGGAGACAAGGGGCGACCUCUGGGAUUUUUUAUUUGAAAGUGUAACUUUUCCCAUAGUAAAUCCUAUGAAAACUUUCAACGGCUUGCGCUUAAUUAUAGUUUCACCGAUUGCGCUGAAAUUUUGCACAGUUCAUAUGGGACCUAAAUGAAAUCAAAAAAGUCGACUGGAGCGAAAAUUCAAUGUUUGUCCCAUACUAAUGCACACUCUUUCCAGGUGUCCCUUCAGGCCACAGAACUUGCAUUAGGUGUGCUUGCGUUUGCAGGUAUUGACAAGGUGAGAUUUCUCAUCGCAGCGGUAGCGGCUAACAUCACUUGCACCAGCCCCCCUCGGAGUAAAAAGCUUUUCCCCUUCGUUUAUUUUCGCCUUCGACUUGUAAGUGUUGGUUAUUUUGUGUCGUGAGUGUUACCGAGAACUUCGUGAUUUGUGAUGCGUGAAAUGUAAAAAUGUAAUAUGGCAGGUAAUACUCAUGGUUAGUGUAGGUGUCACCCAGCUAAAAAGCUCCCGAUAGGCUAGACAGGACAAGGCUAGGCUCCACCACCCUAAAAGCAACCAUCAGCACGCUACACAUCGUAGUUGGAAAACCCUCCACCAGAUGGACUGGUUACCAACCAUUGAGCGGCCAUGAGGGGUGGCGUAACGGGGCCAUUGAGAAAUGGGAUGGCUGGAGAGGGCAAUGACCGAGGAACGAGGUCAUGAACCUCAAGGCAGUCAACGACUCGGUAUGCUAUCACUUGCCCAGAGUUCGUCGACUAAGACAGUAGUAAAAGUUUGGAAAGUUUGGACAGAAGUAAAAGUUUGGAAAGUUUUAUGCAGAGUUAUUGGAGAAAGUUGAAAAGUGGAAGAAGUGUCAGAGAAGUGGACUACAGAACCCCGCCGUUUUGACGUGAAAGUGCACGACCGAUUUCCCUACGUCGUCUCCGUGACCAUCUGGGCGAUUUCCGGCAUAGAACUUGCCGAAGGCCGAUCCGUCACCAUAUCGGCAGGACGGAGACGCGUAGGAGGUUCAGGAACCCGUGUAGUGCCACCCCAAACCACCCAAACCCGUAGGACGUCGCCAUCGCUGAUAGCGGUGUGUGAAGUACCGUGCGCCGCCAUCGUGUGCGCCAGCAUCAGGAAGCUGCCCGAAGGCCUGCGCGCCGCCAUCGCGCACAGUAUCUAGGAAGCAGUGGAGGACAGGUGUGGUGGAGUGUUGCUGACAAAGGGGCCCCCAACGAUAAGGUCAGGUUAGCUUAAAGAAGUGGGAAUUAGAGGGAGUGUAAGGAAGUGCCAGAAAUACAGACCAGUUAGACCGAAUAAAGCGUAGUUGUCCGUGAAGUGCUGUUGUGGUUCCCUAUUUUAAGUGCGAGAGUUCUCUGCCCGCGAGUUCCGUGACGUGAGCGUGCCGACCCUGAGGCUAUUGUGUCGGGGAGUCUCAGUACCGCUCUCGACCGACUUACCCGAUAAUUACAGACUUGUUCCGCUUACCUGGUUGGUGCUGCACUUUGUGGACCUCCUACUUACCUUGGCCACCUUCGAUUUCAGCUCCGCCCUUCUUCGACAGCUCCAUCAGGUAUCAGUAGGUCGGCUCCAGAGGCACGUUCUCCUCCAUUUGGGAACAUAGAGCUCCAUACUUACAGCGAUGUCGCGAGCGUCCUGCAGUGUGAGCUGCCUUCUCUCCAGCAGCCGGCUUCGGAUGUCGUUUCUCCUGAUGCCAAACACCAACUGGUUGCGGAGGGCGGUUUCCAGGUACUGGCCAAAGUUGCACGUAACCGCAAUCCGUCGAAGUGCCACCAAAUAUUCAUCGAUGGACUCGUCCGGCGAAGCAGCAUCUUUGUCGCCUUGGCGACGGCACUUAAAUCGAAAGUUUUCACUGAUCUCGAGCGG